rnacentral:sRNA from 1 species
CGAUCUUUCUACAGUAGUCAAUCCAACCCGGGGACAUCGGAAUCGAACCUCGGCCGCUUCCACGGCGU